AAUGAAAUGGCCGAAAUUUGAAGGCAUUAGACUGUAAAUCUAAGUGUGAAUUAUUUAUAUUCUUUCAUUA
rnacentral:tRNA from 1 species